rnacentral:rRNA from 1 species
CCUACGGGAGGCAGCAGUAGGGAAUAUUGCUCAAUGGGGGAAACCCUGAAGCAGCAACGCCGCGUGGAGGAUGAAGGUUUUCGGAUUGUAAACUCCUUUUGGUAGAGAAGAGAAUGACGGUAGCUAACGAAUAAGCACCGGCUAACUCCGGGCCAGCAGCCGCGGUAAUACGGAGGGUGCAAGCGUUACUCGGAAUCACUGGGCGUAAAGAGCGCGUAGGCGGGAUAGCAAGUCAGAUUUUAAAUCCUAUGUCUUAACCAUAGAACUGCAUUUGAAACUGUUAUUCUAGAGUAUGGGAGAGGUAGGUGGAAUUCUUGGUGUAGUGGUCCACUCCGU